rnacentral:rRNA from 1 species
CGGAGCUUGCUCCACCGGAAAAAGAAGAGUGGCGAACGGGUGAGUAACACGUGGGUAACCUGCCCAUCAGAAGGGGAUAACACUUGGAAACAGGUGCUAAUACCGUAUAACAAUCGAAACCGCAUGGUUUUGAUUUGAAAGGCGCUUUCGGGUGUCGCUGAUGGAUGGACCCGCGGUGCAUUAGCUAGUUGGUGAGGUAACGGCUCACCAAGGCCACGAUGCAUAGCCGACCUGAAAGGGUGAUCGGCCACAUUGGGACUGAGACACGGCCCAAACUCCUACGGGAGGCAGCAGUAGGGAAUCUUCGGCAAUGGACGAAAGUCUGACCGAGCAACGCCGCGUGAGUGAAGAAGGUUUUCGGAUCGUAAAACUCUGUUGUUAGAGAAGAACAAGGAUGAGAGUAACUGUUCAUCCCUUGACGGUAUCUAACCAGAAAGCCACGGCUAACUACGUGCCAGCAGCCGCGGUAAUACGUAGGUGGCAAGCGUUGUCCGGAUUUAUUGGGCGUAAAGCGAGCGCAGGCGGUUUCUUAAGUCUGAUGUGAAAGCCCCCGGCUCAACCGGGGAGGGUCAUUGGAAACUGGGAGACUUGAGUGCAGAAGAGGAGAGUGGAAUUCCAUGUGUAGCGGUGAAAUGCGUAGAUAUAUGGAGGAACACCAGUGGCGAAGGCGGCUCUCUGGUCUGUAACUGACGCUGAGGCUCGAAAGCGUGGGGAGCAAACAGGAUUAGAUACCCUGGUAGUCCACGCCGUAGACGAUGAGUGCUAAGUGUUGGAGGGUUUCCGCCCUUCAGUGCUGCAGCUAACGCAUUAAGCACUCCGCCUGGGGAGUACGACCGCAAGGUUGAAACUCAAAGGAAUUGACGGGGGCCCGCACAAGCGGUGGAGCAUGUGGUUUAAUU